UACGUAGGGGGGCAAGCGUUGUCCGGAAUCAUUGGGCGUAAAGAGCGUGUAGGCGGCUCGGUAAGUCCGCUGUGAAAGUCCAGGGCUCAACCCCUGGAAUGCCGGUGGAAACUGUCGAGCUAGAGUCCGGAAGAGGCGAGUGGAAUUCCUGGUGUAGCGGUGAAAAUGCGCAGAUAUCAGGAGGAACACCAAUGGCGAAGGCAGCUCGCUGGGACGGUACUGACGCUGAGACGCGAAAGCGUGGGGGAGCAAACAGG
rnacentral:rRNA from 1 species